UACGGGGGGGGCAAGCGUUGUUCGGAAUUACUGGGCGUAAAGGGCGCGUAGGCGGUUCGCUAAGUUGAAUGUGAAAACUCUGGGCUUAACCCAGAGCCUGCAUUCGAUACUGGCGGGCUAGAGUUCUGGAGGGGAUAGCGGAAUUCCUGGUGUAGCGGUGAAAUGCGUAGAUAUCAGGAGGAACACCGGUGGCGAAGGCGGCUAUCUGGACAGAGUCUGACGCUGAGGCGCGAAAGCGAGGGGAGCAAACAGG
rnacentral:rRNA from 1 species